rnacentral:tRNA from 1 species
GAUGAUAUAGCUCAGUGGUAGAGUGCCUGCUUAUUAGCAUGCACAAGCCCCUGGGUUCAAUCCCCAGUACCUCCA